AGGUAUGGGCUCGUUGUUAGACCCUGUUAUCGACGCGAGCCACCGGUCUUUCGCCGCAGCAGUUCAGCGCCGAGCCCUUGGAGUGCUACGACCGCGUCCACCAGGAGAGGUCAUCUCUAUACACCAAGAUUGGGUCGAAAGGUUAUAUGAGUGCGGUCUACUGACUCUGGGCCGUCUUGUGGAGGGUGGGAUUGUGAAGCUCGACCGAUCCCUCCUGACGGCGCUAGUGGAUAGAUGGAGGCCGGAGACUCACACGUUCCACCUCCCAUGUGGGGAGUUGACUCCGACGCUGCAAGACGUGGCCAUACUGGAUCCCACUUCUUCCUUCGGCCAUACUGGCCAUUGGGGCCAACAAGGAUCCCACUUCGUCCCACAGUAGGGGAUGGGAAUGUUUGGAGGGACAGCGCCAGUUGGGGGACCGUACCCAGGGAUGGGACCGCCGCCAUCGACACCAGCCUACCUAGGAUUCUAUCCAGAUGCGGGCGUCGGACCUUCUUCCUCAGCACAACCUGGGUUCGUCUCAGACACGUUCGUUCCAGAUAGCGGUGGCUUCAACUUAGAAGAUCUCGACAACUUCACUUCCCUCUCACCCGCAGAGCAAGGUGACCCUGAUGUCUUGGGCUCUUCACAGCUAGGAGGAGCACCACUUGGUUACUCUCAGCAGCAGACACCGCAGCCUUCUCUGCGUCCUCAGCGACAAAUGAGGUCUCCGGAUUGUCACACCUACUCGCAGGGCCAUGUCCAUGCCCAGCAGAGGGCGAAGAGGGUCUGACACCGUCGGGGUGGCUAGAUAUGACUUAUGUUUGUAUCUCGUAUGUUUCUUUGUAAUGACAUAGUGGCCGAACGUUUAUGUCUUAUGGUACCAACGAUGUUGUCU